UCAAAUGAUGAUUUACUCUAUUUUUUUUCACGACGGUCAACGUAGCAUAUGCUUUGACGACCACAGCCUGUGACAGGGCUUAGAUCUGAAU
rnacentral:snoRNA from 1 species